CCUACGGGUGGCAACAGUGAGGAAUAUUGGUCAAUGGGCGCGAGCCUGAACCAGCCAAGUCGCGUGAGGGAUGAAGGUUCUAUGGAUCGUAAACCUCUUUUAUAAGGGAAUAAAGUGUGGGACGUGUCCUAUUUUGUAUGUACCUUAUGAAUAAGAAUCGGCUAACUCCGUGCCAGCAGCCGCGGUAAUACGGUGGAUCCGAGCGUUAUACGGAUUUAUUGGGUUUAAAGGGUGCGUAGGCGGCCUUUUAAGUCAGCGGGGAAAGUCUGUGGCUUAACCAUAGAAUUGCCGUUGAAACUGGGGAGCUUGAGUAUGUUUGAGGCAGGCGGAAUGCGUGGUGUAGCGGUGAAAGGCGGAGAUAUCACGCAGAACCCCGAUUGCGAAGGCAGCCGGCCAAGCCAUGACUGACGCUGAUGCACGAAAGCGUGGGGAUCAAACAGGAUUAGAUACCCCAGUAGUC
rnacentral:rRNA from 1 species